rnacentral:misc_RNA from 1 species
GAAAUGCGAUAAGUAAUGUGAAUUGCAGAAUUCAGUGAACCAUCGAAUCUUUGAACGCACAUUGCGCCCCCUGGUACCCCGGGGGGCAUGCCUGUCCGAGCGUCAUAUGUCCUGUCGGGCCCCUCGUUGGGUCCGGUGUUGGGUGCCCGCGCUGCCCCGUCCGGAGGUGUGGACCCGAAAUGAAACCCCCGCGGUGGAGACGCCCGGUGGUGCAGAGCGGCCGAGGCACACCGCCAUCGCUCAGCGCACCUACCGGCCCCACCCCCCUGGACCGGCCCCGGUCGGUCGGGGAUCAGAUUCAAGCGACUGACCUCGGAUCAGGCAGGGAUACCCGCUGAACUUAA